UACGAAGGUGGCAAGCGUUGUUCGGAUUUACUGGGCGUACAGGGAGCGUAGGCGGCCAACUAAGUCACACGUGAAAUCCCCAGGCUUAACCUGGGAACUGCGUGUGAUACUGGAUGGCUUGAAUUCGGGAGAGGGAUGCAGAAUUCCAGGUGUAGCGGUGAAAUGCGUAGAUAUCUGGAGGAAUACCGGUGGCGAAGGCGGCAUCCUGGACCGACAUUGACGCUGAGGAGCGAAAGCUAGGGGAGCAAACGGGG
rnacentral:rRNA from 1 species